UACAGAGGGGGCAAGCGUUGUUCGGAAUUACUGGGCGUAAAGGGUUCGUAGGUGGCCUGCUAAGUCAGACGUGAAAUCCCUCAGCUUAACUGGGGAACUGCGUCUGAAACUGGCGGGCUUGAGUGCAGGAGAGGAACGCGGAAUUCCUAGUGUAGCGGUGAAAUGCGUAGAGAUUAGGAAGAACACCGGUGGCGAAAGCGCCUUGCUGGGUCUGCACUGACACUGAGGGACGAAAGCCAGGGGAGCGAAAGGG
rnacentral:rRNA from 1 species